GCCGCGCGCGGGCCGGGCCCGACCCACACACCCGGCCCGGCUCCUGCGGCCGCAGCGGCGGAAAGGCCGCGCCUGCGGGUACCGGGCUGCGGCCGCCCAGGCGCCUCCCGGCCCGCCCUGCAGGCGCUGCGGCCCCGGCGGGAGCGGGGUCAGCGCCGGGGGGAGCCACGCCCCCGUCCUGCCCGGCCCGGCCGUGCCGCGGUGACCCGGCGGGUCGGGGACGGAGCGCGGUGACACCGCGGGCACAGCGGGACCCGCGGCGCUGCGCCCCUCUGCUGUGGUGCCCUCACGCCCCUGUGGUGGUUCCCGACACCCCCACGGCUGCCCCGGCCCCGCAGCGUCCACGUUUCCGACCACAGAGAGCCCGCAGGGGAACAGCGCCUCUCGCACGGCCGCUCGUGCAGCGCAGUGCCACCAGCAUCCCAGCGCUUUUGCUAAACCGCUAGAAAAUAGAUCACCCCGCCUCUUCCUUGGACCUUGUACCGCCAAAGGACCCUUCAACCAGUGAAAGUUGGUUUUGCUCUCAAGUACCCUGUCCCAAAAACUUUGCUUCGGUCUGGUGACUAGAUAUGAAGGUGUCCUCACCUUUGUCAUAAAAACGCCACCAAUCACAUUUUAUUUAUCCAGCUCUUCUCCCUGUAUCUAUAAGCACUGAUACUCAGUCCUUGCCAGCUGUCAGAUUCAAAACACUGACAUUUUCGUAGUUCAGAGAAAUCAAAUAAUAAGUAAUUGUUUUCCAGUAUCAGGUAUGACAGGGGACAGACGUUUACAAGUGCACCCGGAUCUGUUUAGCCAGCUGCCUGUACAAACAAGUGUAACAAGUCACAGGUAAUUGUUUACACACAGUGUUUAUUGCAAAUUACUGUCACUUCCUCAGGAUGUUAGCAUGUUGUAUAACAAAGCUCCAGUGGAUUGUUUUCUAGCAAGGGUAUACACUGGUGAUGUGCUUUCAUAAGUGCUGAGCUUGUCCCAUCAACUAAGUUUCAUACUUAAAAGAUUACUUAUUUUACAAAUUAAAUUCCAUAGGCAGCAGCAGUGGUUUCCACGGGGUAAAUGAGAGAUUACUUAUAAGUUCUCAAGGAUCCAUAAGGCUUAUAACAACAAAAUAAUGCUCUUUAUUAUUAAAUAAAAUAGAAAUUAAAAGCCUGCUUCUUUGCAGUAUUUUUAACUCAAGGACUCUAAAACCUGUGAGACAGAACAUAACUGUACCCAUUUACCAGACAGGGGCAGGACAGCACAGAGGUGAGGGAAAGACACAUCAGUGUAGAGGACUGGUGGUGUUGAAAUCCAACAGUGAGAGUCACAAAUGCUAUCACUGUAUUGUACUGAACAUCCAUGUACUGACUGAGGAGAAAAAGGAAAAUGAGUUAUCUUCAGGUUUAUGUUCCUCUAUAGGAAAAAAUUUCCCAAAGCAAGAGCCCAGGCAGAUCUAGCUUUAUUUUUUAAUGUCAAGUUAGACGCUCUAAUUAAAAAUGUUUAAAAUACA